GGAAAUGAUGAUGAAUUUUGUCGCCCCAGUCUUACGUGCAUUUGCAUACGUGUAAAUGUAAAUUGGUGAUUGACCUUAUAAUCUGAUCC